ACUCCUACGGGAGGCAGCAGUGGGGAAUAUUGCACAAUGGGGGAAACCCUGAUGCAGCCAUGCCGCGUGUGUGAAGAAGGCCUUCGGGUUGUAAAGCACUUUCAGUAGGGAGGAAGGUAGUGUAGUUAACACCUGCAUUAUUUGACGUUACCUACAGAAGAAGCACCGGCUAACUCCGUGCCAGCAGCCGCGGUAAUACGGAGGGUGCGAGCGUUAAUCGGAAUUACUGGGCGUAAAGCGCAUGCAGGCGGCCUGUUAAGUCAGAUGUGAAAGCCCGGGGGCUUAACCUCGGAAUUGCAUUUGAAACUGGCAGGCUAGAGUCUUGUAGAGGGGGGUAGAAUUUCAGGUGUAGCGGUGAAAUGCGUAGAGAUCUGAAGGAAUACCAGUGGCGAAGGCGGCCCCCUGGACAAAGACUGACGCUCAGAUGCGAAAGCGUGGGGAGCAAACAGGAUUAGAUACCCUGGUAGCGUA
rnacentral:rRNA from 1 species